ensembl:lncRNA
AAGAAACUUUAUUAGUGGAGAGAUUAGACUGCACUUAACCUCUAAUGAUGGCUGAAGAAAGAAGUUUCUGCACGACACUUUUUUUAUUUGAUAGUUUCAAUGUGAAGAAAGGAAGGGGAGCAGCGGGGGGAGACGAGCACGCCUGCUGCAUGACAGCUCCAUAUCUGAAAGCAGGGUUCUUUCGCAGGGAGACCGCCACCACUCCUUCCCCACCCUCUCUCUGAUGAUGUACAGCUGUUUCCUUUCCCUUUUUCCUUUCCCUUCUCCCCGUUCCUUCUCUCUAACCUCCCACCAUCUCUUUUGCUAGUCAAAGGCCCUUCCCCUCCCCCUGUCUUCGCCACAAAAAAAUAGGCCAAGGUAACUUGUCGGCGCCUCCCCCUGCCCCCCUCCCCGGGGGUUUGUGUGAUAUUUAACUACGGCUACAGUGGCAUUUACUAAUUUUAUAUGUGCAGAAUUUAUGUCAGAUUCUUAUUCAGCGAGAACAGGGGAGAGGAGCAAAGGUGGCUGGCUCCGUGUCCACUGUGUAUACACUGGUAUUAUGUGAACUAUUCACAACACGUCCACUGACAUGAGCAUCGCUAUUUUGUCUAUAACUCUGCUGCUUUCCGACCCAGGUGCCACAAUUAAAGCCUAACCUUAGCAUUUGGAGAGGGAGACAUGAAGAGCCAAUUUGUUGUCUGCAACGCAGCUGCCUUUGAUACAAAGAAGUGAGUAAAGUUUUUUUUUUUCUUUCUUUUUUUAUGGAACUCGCAGGCCUGGCUCUACAUUUUGUUGACAGGGAUGUGAGGUCAAUCAGAUCCUACAGACAGCGACACACAAAAAAUGGCAUUCGGUGGUAUACUAAAACACACUAAUGACACAUGCAGAGCCACCCACAUAUAUACACCAUAUGCAAGCACGCAUUCACACAGGCAUGCUGUGCAUCACAGUCAAACUUGUGUAGUGUAUAUAACUUAAGAAAUGCAUUAAUUAAUUCAUUUUCUGAAUUAAAGUUAACGUAGUCUGCUUUAAAGUUACACUUUAUAAAAGCUCACCACUAGAUGUCAGUAGAUUGCCGAUUGCGGUCAAAUUUGCAGAAUUAUGUUUUUUAAUCCAUCCCAUUCAAGGGUAUAAUUCUUGCUAUGGUGGACACUGUAAGACAAACAACUCUAGUAUCCGUUCAUCUGUAGCGAAUGUAGGCUGUUAGUCCGCUGUUUAUUUCUGCCUCACUAUGUAUCCCUAUCUAUUUACUCUGCAGGAGGCUGUAAAAAUUCAUGAAAGAAGUCCGAUCUGAGACACUGAGUCAGUGAACCUCACUUCUCACUGAUGAGUGAUAUGAAGUUGUUGAGGUAUCCUGUACUUUUCUGAUGCUGUUAGCCUCUGUUAACUGCUGUUAGCCACUGUCAGCUGUUGUUAGCUGG